rnacentral:rRNA from 1 species
UACGGGGGGGGUAAGCGUUGUUCGGAAUUACUGGGCGUAAAGGGCUCGUAGGCGGCCAACUAAGUCAGACGUGAAAUCCCUCAGCUUAACUGGGGGAACUGCGUCUGAUACUGGAUGGCUUGGAUUCGGGAGAGGAAUGCGGAAUUCCAGGUGUAGCGGUGAAAUGCGUAGAUAUCUGGAGGAACACCGGUGGCGAAGGCGGCAUUCUGGACCGAUAUUGACGCUGAGGAGCGAAAGCCAGGGGAGCAAACGGG